CUUUCUUCGGCCGGGAUUUCCCGGAAAGUGGAGCGCGGGUUGAGGAUCGCGGAGAGAGGAUGGCUCUGCGCUCCGCGCCCCUCUUGCUCCUGGUGUUGGUGGGGGUCGCUCUGCGGGAGAGCUGCUUCGGCUCCUCUUUGCACUCCAUGAAGUAUUUCUCCACCUCCAUCUCGGAGCCCAGUUGGGGGCUGCCCCACUUUGUUGUCCUGGGGUACAUGGACGAUCAGGUCUUUGUUCACUAUGACAGCAAGAGCAGGAAGUUCCAGCCUCGAGUCCCCUGGAUGGAGAAGGAGGAUUCCAAGUACUGGGACAGAUACACUGAGAUCUUACAUGACAAUGAGAAGAUGUACACAAAAGACCUGGAGAAUCUAAGGAGUCGCUACAAUCACAGCAAAGGCUUUCACACAUGGCAGAGGAUGGUCGGCUGUAAGCGCCAGGCUGACAGGAGCAAAGGAGGACUUUGGCAGUAUGGCUACGAUGGGAGGACCUUCAUCGCCUUUGACAAGGACACUCUCACCUGGGUGGGUCUCGACCCCCAGGCCCAGGUGACCCAGAGGAAAUGGAAUGCUAUUCCAGGACUGAAUCAGUACACUAAGUCCUACCUGGAGGAGGAAUGCAUUGAGUGGAUGGAGAAGUUUCUGUCCUACGGGAAGGAGACGCUGCUGAGGACAGAGUCCCCAGUGGUGACGGUGACCAGAAGGAAGGAGGCUCAGGAUGGGAUGGAGACACACGUCUGUCGCGUGGAUGGCUUCUACCCCAGGGAGAUCGAUGCCUCCUGGAAGAGGGACGGGGAGGUCUGGCUGGAGGACACCUUCUAUGGGUCUAUGGCUCCCAAUGCGGAUGGGACCUACCACAAGUGGCUCAGCAUCCGGAUCGAUCCCAAAAAGAGGGACCGCUAUCGGUGCCACGUGGAGCAUGACGGCCUGCAGGAGUCUCUGGAUGUGGAACUGAAGGAACCAAAAUCCAACCUGGGGCUCAUCAUCGGCUGCGUUGUUGUGGCUGCUCUUGUCCUGGUGGGUGUGAUUGCUGGGAUCCUGGUAUUCUUCAAAAGGCGUCGAGAUGACUACAAUGCAGCACCAACAAGUGACAAAGGAUCCAACAGUUCAGACCAGGGAAGCAACCAGGUCAUUUUGCAGCUCCCUCGCAGACGCUGCAGGAUAAGGAAUUUCGGGCUCUGAAGAAGGGUCUGCUUGCCCCCAACCGCUUAUCCUAAAUGGCCAAACUGUAACCCCUCUCAGGAUCUGGCUGUCUUGGAUCAGGAGACUCAGAGUCCUGGAAAGAGGAGAUCUGAGUGUUCUCACUGCAAGUGCGAGUGGACACUCCCAGCAUGAGGAGAGAGGAGAGAAGAUGGGAUCAGCCUUCUUCUGAAUGAGGCCGAACUCUUCAGGCCCUUCCAGCAUGCUGGAACCAGGAUAUAUUUGGGGCCUUACUCUUCAGGUGCCUAAUUUUAUGCAGCAACCCAAGAGUGCAGAGACCCUUGAUUAAUGGGGGAGAGGUCCCCAUAUUACAAUGGAUGCUUUCUAAGCAAAGAAGUGAAAGGAGUAAAACGGAAAAGGGAAAUCUAGAAGAAUGGGUUCUUUCACCCAAACUCCUUUUGGGCUUCUCAGAUGCCUUCAAGAGCUGGUCAUCUUUGAGAGCCUAUAAAUUAAAAUAUUUAAAGCAGGCACUUCCAACCUGGGGGCCGGGGGCCACCUGCAGCCUUGGACAGCUACAGGCCCACAGAACUUUUAAUGUUAUAGUGAAAAUAUAAAAUAUAAAUACUUUGGCCACCUAAUGAGACGGAAGGUCUCACUGGAGAAGAGACUAAUGCUGGGAAAGAUUGAGGGCAAAAGAAGAAGGGGACGACAGAGAACGAGGUGGCUGGAUGGAGUCACUGAAGCCGUCGGCGUGAGUUUAAAUGGACUCCAGAGAAUGGUAAAGGACAGGAAGGCCUGGAGGAACAUUGUUCAUGGGGUUGCGAUGGGUCGGACACAACUUCGCAACUAACAACAACAAAAAUAUAAAGGAAGUUAUUUAUGUACAUUAACUAUAUUAUGUUUUGGGGUUUUUUGCGCCCCAAGACAAUUUCUCCUCACUCGGUGCAGCCCAGGGAAGUCAAAAGGUGGGAGACGAUUGCUUUAAAGCAUUUUGUGAGAAUUCAGUCAGCUGAAUUUUUUAUUUUAUUUUAUUUUAUUUCAUUUGUCACAACAGU